rnacentral:tRNA from 1 species
CUACCCUUAGCUCAGUUGGUUAGAGAAGACGGCUCAUAACCGUCCGGUCGUAGGUUCGAGUCCUACAGGGUACA